rnacentral:rRNA from 1 species
AGGGUGAUCGGCCACAUUGGAACUGAGACACGGUCCAAACUCCUACGGGAGGCAGCAGUGGGGAAUAUUGCACAAUGGGCGAAAGCCUGAUGCAGCAACGCCGCGUGAGUGAUGAAGGCCUUCGGGUCGUAAAACUCUGUCCUCAAGGAAGAUAAUGACGGUACUUGAGGAGGAAGCCCCGGCUAACUACGUGCCAGCAGCCGCGGUAAUACGUAGGGGGCUAGCGUUAUCCGGAUUUACUGGGCGUAAAGGGUGCGUAGGCGGUCUUUCAAGUCAGGAGUGAAAGGCUACGGCUCAAC